AAUAUAGAUAGCAUGGAUGUCUGACUCAGAACACAAAGUGCAGGUGCCAGCAGCAAGAAGAUGCUGCUAAGAAAUAGCAGCUCUGUGGGACUGCAAAGUAUCAGCUAUCUGGGGAGACCAGAACUGGGAAAAAGAGACACUGAUGAUUGAAAACACUUUUUUUUUUGCCAUCUCCACACAUCCCCUUGAGCUCUUCACCCUGCAGUCGGAGCACAGAACCGUGGCAGUGGGAGUGAUGGGGCUGCCCCCUCUGAGACGGAUCCAAAAAUUCUGACCUCCUCUUCCUCAGGGAAACUUGCAACUCCAGAGACUCUUCAUCCACAUGAGAGAGGAGUGAGAGGGCAGUGUUAGAUAAAUGCAGAAAUUCCUCUUCUCCUCACGGGAUGUUCCUGGCAAUGGAUAAGACCUCGUGGCUUGGCUUGCCCUCAUCCCCGGAGUCUCCUUUAGGAGGUAAUCUUCGGAGAAGAGAAAAUCAACAGCAUUACUAUAUUUUGUACAAUGCCUUGCACAGUGUAUCCCUGAUGUGACUGGGCUUUUGGGCACAUCAGACCUACAGAUUCAAGAGCAGGGUAAUCCCCAGGAAGGUGGAAAACAUGGAUUUGAACUUCUGCAGGCAAGAGAGGACACUGAGCCUGGAUUUGCCACAUUGCCAUCAUAGUACGACCACAUUGCCAUCAUAGUACGACCCUGUUAUCUCUAUCCCUACUCUGUACUAAGAACCACCUGGAAAACACACAGUUUGUGGAUGUCACUGGAUUUAAGCACAUGACAAAGGCUGAGUUGCUGAACUGUGGUAAGGUACUCAGGUACUUAAUGAUCCUGGUUCAUACAGGUGUAAGAAAUGUUGGUAAAGAUUUGAGGCAUCCACAGGCUAUUACUCCUGUACUGGGUUACCAGAAUUUGUCCACAUCCUUCUCCAGACUUGAACCCUUCCCUAUUCAUAGCACAGUAAUAAAGUUCCACUACCAAUCAGUUUUAGUAAGUUUCGUGAAGUUUUUGAAUUAAAUUUUGGCCCCAGAGCCAUUAUGGUAUAAUAAAUGCUUAUGUUGUAAAUUGGUAAUUCCAGAGCAAAACAUUUUCUUUUCAGUCUGAUAAUUCAUCUGGAAGUGUAUAAAUCUACAGGGCAAUCCCGUAUUUCUCCAAAAAAUAGAAGGACAAGGGGUAUAUUUUUUGGUUCUCCAAUUAAAAAGUGAUGCUAAAUUACAGACCUCAACUUAAGCAGCACUGUAGCUGCAGAUAAGACAAAGAAGAGACAAUAACAAUGAGCAGAGCAGAAUGGAUCCAUUAGCAGCAUGAAUCCAUUAUACUUCCUCAAAUAUUUCUAAAAUAACUGAGACCAACAGAUACCAAAAAUUCUGUGGAAUCACUUAGUUGAGCUGGCCAGCUGGUCUGUAGCUCCCAAAUCCAUCUUUUCAUAAACUGGGGAGGAAAUAAUAGAGCACUAAAACCACUUUUUUUAAGUGACCAUGCUCUGAUAUUGCAGAGAUAAAAUAUGAUCAUUCAUUCCUCAGUUUAAGCAAACCAGAAAAAGUCUAGUCUGGUUUAACUCUACUGAGGAGGUACUGCAUAGGGAUAGAUUUUAAUUUUUAAUGAGAUAUUGAACCAGACAAUUAAUCUCUAUCUUUAAUGAUUAAGAUGUGGAUAAUAUUGCCCGUAAGUCAUUGGUGUUGGAUGCAAGUUACUACGGCAGCAAAAGGUAAUGGUGUAUUUUUUCCUGGUCAGUUCCUUAUAGAAAAAUGCUUAGCUGACUUGCAAUAACACAAAUAGAACUCACAAAAAUCAAAGUUCUGCUUAGCUUCAGGAGUCCCAGCACUUCAGAUUUUGGAAGAGAA